ACUUGUCUCAGAAAAAAAAAUAAAAACAAAAAAAGAAGCUGCUGAGAGCAGGCAAAUGGAAGCCCAGAGGGAGAAACGCCCGCACGAAACCAGGAGUCUGUGUUUGUUUAGCAAACAGAGCCUGCUCUUUGGGUCAGAGGGAACCAUGUGGUUGAGCCGUGAGCUUCCUCUUGCAUCUCACUUCCGCCAGUGCUCGUCUCAGAGGGCGGUGGCUGAUCCCUGGCUGAGACCAACCCACUCGUUCCAUAAACUCACACGCCCCCCGCACGGGGCGUCCUCCUCCUCAACAAGAACCCAGGAUGCCAGGCAUCAAUGCCUGCGGAGACCCGAGUCCGGGAGGGAUCCCGACCCAGCCCCUGCCUGGCGUGUGUCAAGUCUUGAGGUGAGCCCUAAGGGGACCCCACCGCUGGUCACAGCAGAAAGGCAGCAGCUGAGAGGUGACAGCGUCAGAUCCUACCUGAGAAGGUGCCCUCUCUCCUGGCUAAGAAGCACCCCUGUCACAUGCGCCUCACGAUGCGGCUAUGCUAUUAAUCCCGGUCCAAGAGGUCCAGAGAGGGUGAGGAACUGACCCAAGGCCACCCAGCUGAGUCUGACCCUGGGCCUAGCCUUGGCUCCAGGGCUGACACGGAGACCUCAACUCUUCCCCCUCACCACCAUCCGAGUCCCCUGAGGGUGGGGUGCCUCACUCCUGCAGCAGCAGACCAGGGAACUUGUUACAGAUGCAGAUUCUCAGGCUGACCUGGGAGGGUCAGAGUCAGAUGUUCCGGGCAGGACUCGGAUCUGGAUUUAACAGGCCUGACAACGGAGCCUCGAGUCCUGCUCGAGGGAGAAGACCUGCAAUUCCAGAACCCACGCGACGGGCCAGGCACGGGCAGCUUUGGAAACACAGAUUCCUGGGGCCUGCAAAGACCUACAGAACAGGAAUCUGGGGUGCAGGAUUUUUUCUUUUUUUAGCUGGAGUUUCACUCUUGUUACCUAGGCUGGAGUGCAAUGGCGCAAUCCUGGCUCACCACAACCUCCGCCUCCCAGGUUCAAGCGAUUCUCCUGCCUCAUCCUCCUCAGUAGCUGGGAUUACAGGCAUGUACCACGACGCCCAGCUAACUUUCUUUUUUUCUUUUUUUUUUUUUUCAGUAGAGACGGGGUUUCUCCAUGUUGGUCAGGCUGGUCUCGAACUCCCGACCUCAGGUGAUCCGCCUGCCUUGGCCUCCCAAAGUGCUGGGAUGACAGGCGUGAGCCACCGCCCCCGGCCGGGGGAUAUUUUUCACAGCUCUCCAGGGCGGUGAGACCUUCACAGCAGAGGUCAAGGUCGUUCUGGGUGAAUGUACAUUCCGGAUUCUUGCAUUUCACUGUAUGUAAAUUUCACCUCAAAAGAAACAACUAUAAACAAA